AACUUUUUGCAAUGUGUCACGUGGCUCUCGCGUCGAUUAAGAACGCAGCGAAAUGCGAUACGUAAUGUGAAUUGCAGAAUUCAGUGAAUCAUCGAAUCUUUGAACGCACCUUGCGCCCCUUGGCAUUCCGAGGGGCACACCCGUUUGAGUGUCGUGAAAUUCUCAAAACCUUUUCCUUUGCCGGAAAGGAUUUUGGAUUUGGAGGCCUUUGGCUGGUUUCACCUCGAAUCGAGCUCCUCCCAAAUGGAUUAGUGGGGUCUGCUUUGCCGAUCCUUGACGUGAUAAGAUGCUUCUACGUCUCGGGUUUUGGCACUGUGCCUCUGCUUCUAACCGUCUCAUUGACAACGAUGGUGUUCCGGUCACCGCCGAUUCGUCGGUGGGAGGCUUGACCCACAAAACGACCUUGACCUCAAAUCGGGUGAGACUACCCGCUGAACUUAAGCAUAUCAAUAAGCGGAGGCU
rnacentral:misc_RNA from 1 species